GACGAACGCUGGCGGCGUGCUUAACACAUGCAAGUCGAACGGAAAGGCCCUGCUUUUGUUGGUUGCUCGAGUGGCGAACGGGUGAGUAACACGUGAGUAACCUGCCCUUGACUUUGGGAUAACUUCAGGAAACUGGGGCUAAUACCGGAUAGGAGCUCCUGCUGCAUGGUGGGGGUUGGAAAGUUUCGGCGGUUGGGGAUGGACUCGCGGCUUAUCAGCUUGUUGGUGGGGUAGUGGCUUACCAAGGCUUUGACGGGUAGCCGGCCUGAGAGGGUGACCGGCCACAUUGGGACUGAGAUACGGACCAGUAUCCUACGGGAGGCAGCAGUGGAGAAUAUUGCGCAAUGGGCGGACGCCUGAUGCAGCAACGCCGCGUGCGGGAUGACGGCCUUCGGGUGGUAAACAGCUUUCGACUGUGACGAAGCGUGAGUGACGGUAAUGGGUAAAGAAGCACCGGCUAACUACGUG
rnacentral:rRNA from 1 species